GAAAACCGGUACUCAGUUCGGAUCGCAGUCUGCAACUCGACUGCGUGAAGGUGGAGUCGCUAGUAAUCGCGGAUCAGCAACGCCGCGGUGAAUGCGUUCCCGGGCCUUGUACACACCGCCCGUCAAGUCAUGAAAGUGGGCAGCACCCGAAGACGGUGGCCUAACCCUUGUGGGGGGAGCCGUCUAAGGUGAGGCUCGUGAUUGGGACUAAGUCGUAACAAGGUAUC
rnacentral:rRNA from 1 species